ACGAACCGUGCGAACGUUGUUCGGAUUCACUGGGCUUAAAGGGCGCAUAGGCGGACGGUCAAGUCAGGGGUGAAAUCUUUCAGCUCAACUGGAAAAGUGCCUUUGAUACUGAUCGUCUCGAGGGAGGUAGGGGCAUGUGGAACUUCCGGUGGAGCGGUGAAAUGCGUAGAUAUCGGAAGGAACGCCGGUGGCGAAAGCGGCUCUCUAGUACGGUACUGACGCUGAGACGCGAAAACGUGGGGAGCGAACAGGA
rnacentral:rRNA from 1 species